rnacentral:misc_RNA from 1 species
AAGAAAGCAUUGAAUUGGGAGAACCUGCUCCACGUGAUAUACACACUUCCAUCAAAGUUUCUAACCCUGCUGGAGGUCAGAUGUCUAGCGAGGAACCCGUGAUGAAGACAGCAAAGAAAAUUUAUAACCAGAAAUUCAAUGAGCUUUCAGGAAAUGACAUAUUCAAGGGUGAUGUUGCUCCAUCAUCUGCUGACAAAACUCUAAGUGUGGCAAAAUUGCAGGAGAUGAGCGGUAAUGACAUAUUUGCUGAUGGGAA